rnacentral:rRNA from 1 species
GACGAACGCUGGCGGCGUGCUUAACACAUGCCAGUCGAACGGAAAGGCCCUGCUUUUGUGGGUUUCUCGAGUGGCGAACGGGUGAGUAACACGUGUGUAACCUGCCCUUGACUUUGGGAUAACUUCAGGAAACUGGGGCUAAUACCGGAUAGGAUCUCCUGCUGCAUGGUGGGGGUUGGAAAGUUUCGGCGGUUGGGUAUGGACUCGCGGCUUAUCAGCUUGUUGGUGGGGUAGUGGCUGACCAAGGCUUUGACGGGUAGCCGGCCUGAGAGGGUGAACGGCCACAUGGGGACUGAGAUACGGACCAGACGCCUACGGGAGGCAGCAGUGGGGAAUAUUGCACAAUGGGCGGAAGCCUGAUGUAGAAACGCCGCGUGCGGGAUGACGGCUUUCGGGUUGUAAACCGCUUUCGCAUGUGACGAAGCGUGAGUGACGGUAAUGGGUAAAGAAGCACCGGCUAACUACGUG